rnacentral:rRNA from 1 species
UACGGAGGGUGCGAGCGUUGUCCGGAAUCACUGGGCGUAAAGGGCGCGUAGGUGGUAACCUAAGCGUGUGGUGAAAGCCCGGGGCUCAACCUCGGGUCGGCCAUGCGAACUGGGUCACUGGAGCACUGUAGAGGCAGGUGGAAUUCCGGGUGUAGCGGUGGAAUGCGUAGAGAUCCGGAAGAACACCGGUGGCGACGGCGGCCUGCUGGGCAGUUGCUGACACUGAGGCGCGACAGCGUGGGGAGCAAACAGG